ensembl:snRNA U4 U4 spliceosomal RNA
AACUUUGCACACUGGCAAUAUCAUAGCUAGUGAGGUUUACCUGAGGUGUGAUUAUCAGUAAAUGACAUUGAACAUCUUUUACGUGAUUGUGCAUUUUUGUAUUUUCUUUGGAGAA